ensembl:lncRNA
AUGGCAUGUCGGAUGCUGGGGAGCAGCCUGGUGCGUGGCAUUGACACUGGCGCACCCAGCCUCUGCGGUGCUGGGCUUGGCUUCACGUGCCAUUGGGUGUGCAGAGGGGCUGGGACCCCGCGUGGGUCCUGCAGUGCACACCAGUCCCCGGGGCAGGCAGCAAGUACGCGCGGUGCGGCCACCAGCCCGUGGCAAGCUCUGGUCCCGCGCCUGCCCGCACCUCAGAGCCACGCUCCUCGCAGCGCCGCACCACCAAGCCUCCUCUUCCUCCCGCAGGGCCCUGGCCGUGCUCCAGCGCAGGACGCUCGGAGCAGGAUGUUGGCGGAGCGAGAGGAGCGUCGUAAAAGCCAAUUACAGAUGAGCGGGAAUCUCUUCAUCAAGCAGUUCUUGGUUUUGCUGCAUCAGACGCAGCCGGCUGAAGACAUCAAAAAGCAAUACAUAGAAAAGGUGCUGCACGCAGUGUUCUUCUUCGGAAGGGUGCACAAGAGGGUGGUGGAACCCACUGACUUCCUAGGGCCCGCAGUUUGCCAGACUCUGCAGGCGAAGUUCCCCAGACCGUUCCAACAGUACGGCACCCACCUCCCCGGCCUGACGCCCUACUCCAUCCUGCUGCAGUUCGGCUCUGAAGUAGCAGGCUGCAGCACCCAAGAGCAAAUGGAGUCUUUCUUGCGUGACUUUAACAAAACUCUGCAAGAAAAAUUGGAGCGAGAAGCCAACAUGAAGCCCAGUGAGUUCGUCUUCAGAGCUGCAAUUGUUGCCUUCAGCAUCUACAGAGACCCCGAGGAUGGAGCAGCCCCUCCUCUCUUUUAUGGAGCGUCCCUGUCCUGCAGCGGGCUGCUGGAGAAGAAGAUCAUGAUUGACGUCCUGUGCAUAAAGACGUGGCACAAGGCGGUGGCGUUCGCAGUGCACCACGCGGAGGACGAUCUGGCCAUCGUCUUCCCUGAUGGGGUAGAGUGCCGGGCCUUCUACUACAGUCACGGAGCCUUCGCGGAAAAGCAGCCCUGCAUGAAAUGCAGGGAGAUGUUCCACGUCGACUUCCAGCCACCCGCAGACAGCACCAAGGAAGAUUGCCCGUGGCCAUACGGUAACUGUGCCGAGAACGAGACCCUAAGCAAGCUGCUGCAGGGCAUCCCGGGGCUGCAGGAGAAGGUUGUCUCGACACACACUCCCCCCCAGCCAAACACCUACCAGGCCAUUGAACAAGAAUUUACAGGCAUCAUAGAAAACAGGUUUAGAAAUCACCUUGACCAGUUGCUUCACGAAAAUCAUUUUUCUUCUUACCUUCCUCUGCAAUUCUUUUGAACCCAGGUGAGUGCUGGAGAGGUAGCCACAGGCCGGUGCUUGCUGCAGCUCACGAGAUACCCCUGACUGCAGCACCCUUGCAGCUCCGCCUGCCCCCACCCAUGAACUCCCGCAGACCCCCACCUUUGCACAGGCUCCCCCGGGCCACCUCGCUGCGCUCUGUCUGGUGCAAGGCACGCGGGGCCACAGCGGUCAGGAGCGCUGCAGGCCUGCAGCCCCAGCCCAGGCUCCCAGCCCCACUGACCCAAGCACUACAACUGCUCUUGCAGACGGUACCAGCACAGCCCCAGCAGGAGGGCAGGAAAGCCUUCUCACCCUGCCUUUAUGUUGCUUCCAAAACCAGGCUACGUGCUCACAGCAGCAGAGUCUGGACAGGGCACAGAAGAGGCAAAAGCGCAGCCUCUGAAUGGCACGAGGCAGCCCAGCUCCAUGUCUGCAAACUGCGCAGCGAUGGGGUAUCCGUUUGUUCCUUGCUAGGCUCAGCAGCACAGGGCUCUGCUUUUAAUCUGUGUAAAUAAAGAUGCGUAUGUGAUUUUCA